AGAGAACGUUGCGUCAGCAACGGCCCGCAGGGCGAGCCACGCAGUGGCGAGUCAUCCUCUAUCACCGACCA
rnacentral:sRNA from 2 species